UGGGGAAUAUUGGACAAUGGGCGAAAGCCUGAUCCAGCCAUGCCGCGUGUGUGAAGAAGGUCUUCGGAUUGUAAAGCACUUUAAGUUGGGAGGAAGGGCCAUUACCCAAUACGUGAUGGUUUUGACGUUACCGACAGAAUAAGCACCGGCUAACUCUGUGCCAGCAGCCGCGGUAAUACAGAGGGUGCAAGCGUUAAUCGGAAUUACUGGGCGUAAAGCGCGCGUAGGUGGUUUGUUAAGUUGGAUGUGAAAUCCCCGGGCUCAACCUGGGAACUGCAUUCAAAACUGACUGACUAGAGUAUGGUAGAGGGUGGUGGAAUUUCCUGUGUAGCGGUGAAAUGCGUAGAUAUAGGAAGGAACACCAGUGGCGAAGGCGACCACCUGGACUGAUACUGACACUGAGGUGCGAAAGCGUGGGGAGCAAACAGGAUUAGAUACCCCAGUAGUCCCUGAGCGGGCUGGCAAGGCGCAU
rnacentral:rRNA from 1 species